UUGUAAGGAAUGAAGGGCGUAUGGAGGAUGCCUUGACACUAAAAGGCGAUGAAGGACGUGGCGUGACUGCGAUAAACUUCGGGGAGCCGUCUAGCGGGCUUUGAUCCGGAGGUGUCCGAAUGGGGAAACCCAAUUUGGUGAAAACCAAAUUGACCGUUCCAGUGCCGAGUUUGUGUUUUGCCGAGCGUUGAGCCUGUCCCCUUUGCCGAUUUUACAAUUUCGGCAGUGGGAGGAGCCAGGCCAAAGGCCGGCAAGAAGACAAUUUCGGCACUGGGACGGUGGCGUACCUGGGGAAGUGAAACAUCUCAGUACCCAGAGGAAAAUAAAUAGCAUAGAUUCCGUCAGUAGCGGCGAGCGAAAGCGGAAUAGCCUAAACCCUUCGAUUCGACACUGCGUGUCUCACUCAGGGCGAGCCAAUAUCUAAAAAAGUUGGCUUGCCCCGAGCGAGGCGCUUAGCGCCGAGUCGAGGGGGGUUGCAGGGAUAGUACAUCGUCCCAAUACCGACAUUGCACUUGUCUUUGACAUACCGCGCCUUUGGCAAAGUCCCAAACGGGACAUGCUCAACGCGCGGAGUUCAACACGAAGGCAAUGUCGGAGUUGGGACGGAAGAGUUACAAAUUCACUAGCUAGCCGAACACGCCUGGAAAGGCAGACCACAGCGGGUAAUAGUCCCGUAGGCGAAAGUCAGUGAACUCUUGUAUUGUUACCUAAGUACCCAUGGAGGAGAUUAUCCGUGGCGAAUCCGGGCCUACUACGGUCCAAGGCUAAAUACUUUUAGUGAUCGAUAGUGAACUAGUACCGCGAGGGAAAGGUGAAAAGCACCCCGGUUAGGGGAGUGAAAUAGUAACUGAAACCAUAUGCCUACAAAGAGCCGGAGCGUCCCAAUACCGACAUUGCACUUGUCUUUGACAUACCGCGCCUUUGGCAAAGUCCCAAACGGGACAUGCUCAACGCGCGGAGUUCAACACGAAGGCAAUGUCGGAGUUGGGACGUGACGGUGUGCCUAUUGAAGAAUGAGCCUGCGAGUUUAUACCAGUUGCAAGCCUAAGUCCGUCAGGACGCAGGCGUAGGGAAACCGAGUGUUAAUAGCGCGCAUAUCGUCCCAGUACCGAGCGUCCCAAUGCCGAGAUUGAACCGGUCUUUUGACAUUAAGUCCCAAGGUCCCAAAGACUAGUGGGGACUUGCUAUCAAAAGAUAAGGGCAAUUUCGGGAGCGGGGCGUUCGGCACUGGGACGGUGAGUAUCUGGUAUAAGACCCGAAGCCAAGCGAGCUAACCAUGGUCAGGAUGAAGGUCGCCGAAAGGCGACUGGAGGUCCGAACUGUUUGAUAGCGCAAUAUCAUCGGAUGAACUGUGGUUCGAAGUGAAAAGCUUAUCGAGCUUGGUAAUAGCUGGUUCUCCCCGAAAUGCCUUUAGGGGCAGCGCCAUCUGUUAGUCGAGGGGGUAGAGCACUAAUUGGUUCGUCUUGCCGUUUUACGGUAGACCUACCAAAUAAACUCCGAAUACCUCGAUGAUAAGGAUGGUAGUGAGACGGUGGGGGCAAAGCUUCAUCGUCGUGAGGGAAAGAGCCCAGAUCACAGAUUAAGGUCCCUAAGUGUUAGCUAAGUGUUAAAGGAAGUAUUCUGCCUUAGACAGACAGGAGGUUGGCUUAGAAGCAGCCAUCCUUUAAAGAGUGCGUAACAGCUCACUGUUCAAUCCUCGUCUUCGGAUGAGGAAGGCCGAAUGCGCCGAAAAUUUACCGGGGCUAAGUUAACCACCGAAAUCGUGAAUGCGUCCCAGUACCGAAGUUGUGUUUUGCCGAGCGUUGAGCCCGUCCCCCUUGCCGAUUUUACAAUUUCGGCAGCGGGAGGAGUCAGGUCAAAGGCCGGCAAGAAGACAAUUUCGGCACUGGGGCGCGUGGUAGGGGAGCAUUUCUAACGCAGCGAAGUUCCGCCGUGAGGCUUGGGAUGGAGCGUUAGGAAGGGAGAAUGCAGGCAUGAGUAACCGCAAGCAGCGUGAAAACCGCUGCCGCCGAAAGUCUAAGGUUUCCUCCGCGAUGGCAAUCAGUGGAGGGUUAGGCGCGCCUAAGGAUAACCCAGCUUACGAGCUGGGGAAGCCGAUGGACAGCCGGUUAAUAUUCCGGCCCUUCGUUUAGAUUUAUCAUGGAGUGACGGAGAAAAUAAAGUUGAGCAUAUUAUUGGAUUUAUGUAGCUACCAGCUAGAAUAGCGAUCAGGCAAAUCCGGUCGCUGCCUUCAAUGGCACUACUCAUUGGCGACUAAACUUCUGUCUUCGGAUGGGGGUAUUCAACUGAAGAGUCUUCCUAGAAAAGCUUCUACAGCGUCUAAGCGAAAACGUACUAAAACCGACACAGGUAGACUAGUAUGAUAGUACUAAGGCGAACAGGUGAUUAUUGGCUAAGGAACUCGGCAAAAAAGUGGCCGUAACUUCGGGAUAAGGCCUGCCGUCCCUGUGCCGACAUUGCAUUUGUCUUUGACAUGCCGCGCCUUUGGCAAAGUCCCGAAUGGGACAUGCUCAACGCGCGGAGUUCAACACGAAGGCAACGUCGGCAUUGGGACGGCCGCAGCUAACGACCCCUGGCGACUGUUUAUCAAAAACACAACUCUGUGCUAAAGCGAAAGCUGAUGUAUACAGGGUGACGCUUGUCCAGUGCUGGAACGUUAAUGGUUGAAGUGGUUUGUCUUCGGAUGAACUGCGGAGGCCUGAAGCGCCAGUGAACGACGGCAGUAACUAUAAACAUGACAGUUGUAGUUAUAAAAUCUGACUAUUUGCUGGAAACUCCGAUUGAAUCCGACACUACCAGAAGUGGUGAAAAUGUGCUCGGUGCGGUCCCCUUCGCUCUGAUGAGCUUCGGACGACCAACGGACAAUCAGCAGGCAACCUGGGAAACCAGAGAGUCCUCAGAGGCCAUACGUCAGAUCCGCCAAAACUUCGUAAGAUGUUGGCGGAAAGAUAUGGUCCGAUCUCAUGGGCGACCAUGAGGCUGUCCGAUGGUGAGUUAAUCGAAUCCAUCGAGACUAAUAAAAAGGAUGAACUGUCUAAAAGUAGGUAAUUAACUGCUUUUAUAAAAUUCGACUAUAUGCUGGAAACUCUGAGAAUCGAGGGUUACUCAUGGUAUAAUGAUACCAUGAGUGAAAAUACUUCUCGUGCAGACAAUCAGCAGGAAAGACUAAGACUAGAAGGUUGGAUCAGUGGUUUUGUCGAUGGUGAAGGGUGCUUUACUGUAAGUAUAAUUCGUAAUCGCACAGUAACCACAAGAGAAAGCUGGCAGGUAUUUCCAGAGUUCGUGGUGAGUCAAGGCGAAAGGAGUCGUGGCGCAUUAAAAAGAAUUGAGAAAUUCUUCAAAUGUGGCUACAUAAAUCUCAAUACUCGUCGAGAUAAUCAUCAUGAACAAAUGUUAAAAUAUUGCGUCAGAGCUAUCGAUGAUCUUAAUCUGAAAAUUAUUCCGUUCUUUGAGAAAAAUAAACUGAAAACCUAUAAGCAAAAAGAUUUUCUGGUUUUUCGAAGAAUUAUCAAAAUGAUGAUUUUGGGAAAACAUCGUUCAGAGAAGGGAUUGAAUGAGGUACGAUCUUUGCUUCAGACGAUGAAUCGAAGAAAGUAUAAAGUCUUAGAAUCCUCAGAGACUAUACGUCGAACUCAUUCGGAAUGAUAAACCGAAGCGAGAAGAUAUAGUCCGGUCUCUAUGGCGACAUAGAGGGUAAGAAUACCACAACACGUUGUUGUAACAUGUCAAGCGAAAUACCUUGUGGGGUAAGUUCCCACGCGCAUGAAUAGCGUAACGACUGGGGGACUGUCUCAGCCAAUAGCCUGGUGAAAAUGCAAUGUCGGUAAAGAUGCCGACUACCCGCACCAAGACGGAAAGACCCCGGGAGCUUCACUGUAGCUUGUUAUUGGGUUACGAGUUUUACUGCGUAGCGUAGUGAGUAGUCUUUGAAGCCAUGAUUUCGGUUGUGGUGGAGACGCCAAUGAAACACUCAUCUGUAAAAUUUGUAAUUCUAACCGGCCCCGCCCUUUAGUUGCAUGACUAAACGCGGGAAGAUAAAGUUUCGUUCGGUGGAUAGUUUGUUUUAUUCGAAAUUUUUUCCCGCAAAACGUCGCACACCUAGAGGGCUGGGUUGGGACAGUGGCUGGUGGGCAGUUUUGCUGGGGCUGCAGCCUCCCAAAAAGUAACGGAGGCGUUCAUUAAGGUCAGCUAGCUCUGGAUGGACAUCAGAGCGAUAGCGCAAAGGCACAAGCUGGCUUAACUGCAAGACGGACAUGUCGCGCAGAUGCGAAAGCAGGACUUAGUGAUCCGACCGUGGUUCGUAGGAACGCGGAAGCUCAACGAAUAAAAGCUACCCCGGGGAUAACAGGCUGGUUGUGCCCGAGCGUCCAUAGCGACGGCACAGUUCGGCACCUCGAUGUCGGCUCGCCCUAUCCUGGGACUGAAGAAGGCCCCAAGGGUUUGGCUGUUCGCCAAUUAAAAGGGUACGCGAGCUGGGUUCAGACCGUUCUGAAUGUGAAUCAUGAAGUAGGUAUCAUGAAUCAUGGAUAGAACCGUCUGAACCCGAUAAAU
rfam:Candidatus Yanofskybacteria bacterium RIFCSPHIGHO2_12_FTLL_45_19b rifcsphigho2_12_scaffold_5822, whole genome shotgun sequence.